CGAAAAUAAAACUGAAAUAUUGAAGAAUCCAAGUGAAACUACAUCAAAAUUUUAAUUUAGUUUUAGUUCUAGAACACCCGAAAGAAUGACAAAUGGAAGGAAGCAAGCAGAUAAGGCCAAAAUCAGCUGUAGAUUUCAUUUGAUUUGGAAUUAUAAUAAUUUACGAAGCCAAGAACUCUGUGCAGUCUCAGAUUGAGACUGCAUGUAAAGAGAACCAUAAAUUUACAGGUAACUCGUAUAUACAAUUUGAUGCUUCCUGAUGGUGCACAACAUUUUCCAACAGAUUUUUAAGUGAGUUGCCCUUUAAGAGCACUAGUAGCCCUUUCAAUGGCUCUAGCAACUCUCCAUAUCUCAUGCUGAAUUGCUGCUUGCUGAUCCCGAGGACUCUUGCCUGUGGAACCAGAAAUAGCAUCCGCUAUACCAGGGAAGAAAUCCAGUUUGCUUUCGUAGUCACCAGGAGGCCCAUAAAUCUACAAAAGAUCAGUUAAGAAUAUGUUAUCGAGUCACUAGCACUUCAUGGGGUUUACAGUAGUAUUUCUUGCAAGAUGAAACGUUAUUCCACAAGCCUUUUCUACACUUUCAACGUUCUAUAAAAUUGGCAUUAAGAAUGGACCUUAAUUAGAAAUAUUAAGAUAUUGUUUCAUUGAGCAAAUUUAUACGUUAUUCAUCCACAGAACCAUAAUACCUGAUAUUUGAAUGCCAAAUUUGACCAUUAUGAAAUGGGAUGGUCCUUUAUUUUGUUUUUUAAAUCAAAUGGACCAUUCCAUUUAGACAAACCUACCAGUUCUGGUAAUGAACCACAGGCAAGGUAACUUCACUUACAAGAUGCUUAAACCAAUGCCGUCCUCGCAGCCCAUCUGCAUCCAAGAAGCCUCUUUCAGCAAGCAUCAGCCGGUCAUUUAACGCACGCAACUUCAAAGCCAAAUUAUCACCCCUCCUUUCUUGCCAUCUCAAUUGCCUUGCUUCAUCUUCAGCUUCUUUAGCAGCCAAGGUGAAUUCUUGAAUCGAAGUGAUUAAAGGAUUGAGAGAGAUGCUUUGAACCAAUAAAUUGCUCAACACAUCUUUAUGCCCCUCUAGUUGCUCUGCAUAAGAUAGGUAAUCAAAAGGAAGAAUAGAAUCAUCAGACAGGUGAAGGGCUACAAGUCCCCAUACCCCAGCAACAGCCACGUGACGAUGAAAUAAAGGAUCUCCAUGCUUUGUCAUCCAAUCAUAGGAGUCAAAAGCAGUGUGAUACACAGGGAAAUCUCUUCCAUAAUAUAUAUCAAUAGAAGGAACCCCUGCAUGUUGCAGAAAUGGGACAAAGUCAGAAUCAACUCCACUGAGUCUCUCAAUACUAAUGACUUGAUUUGUGGCUGCCCACUUCUCAAAAACUGUUGCACCCUCAGAGUCCGGAUCCUUGACCUUCUUUGUAACCUCGCGAAGAAGAUUAUCUAGCUGAGGAGUUGCACCAGCAAAGAAUCCUGGCCCUUGAACUGCACAAUCAACAUUAAGGUAGGCCACUACUUUGGCACCCAAGUUGACAAGAUUCUGUUCAACCCACUCAGUAGAUCCUACCAUCCCGAACUCUUCUGCAUCCCAACUACAGAGGAUAAUUGUUCUUCGAGGUUUCCACCCCAUCCGCAUCAAAAGAGAAAAUCGUCGAGCAAUGUCAAGUAAUGCAGCAGUCCCACUGUUAGGGUCAACAGCCCCAUAUGUCCAUGCAUCUCUAUGGUUGCCAAGUAUCACAUAACGAUCAGGCUCUUCUAAUCCCCUUAUAACAGCGAAGACAUUAUGGAUUGUCCCCUCCUUUUUCUCCCCCUGGUAAGUGAACUUGACCAGGGUCGGACCAGGCCCAACCAUAGACAGACCCGAAUCCCUCCACUCCCGCGGCACCAUAGGACCUCUUAGGGACCCCAAGAUGACGUCAGCAGUCUCGCAGGACAAGGGCAAGGAUGGGAUUUUGGGGAACCUCUCCAAGACCUCACUAUCCUCCAAGCCCAACCUUUCUCCUCCCUUAACUCCUGCCCACCCCGGGCUCAGUGGGUCCCCCACUCCCCUCAUAACAGUCCCUCUCUCUACUCCUCUUCCUCCUCUCUUCCCAUCCCUCUCCACGUACAAUAGCACUGCCAACGCCCCUUUAGAUUCAGCUAUUUUAACCACUCCCCCUCUACUCAACCCACCAACUUUCCUCGCCAAAACCACGCACCCGCUAACAUUCACCCCCAACGCUUCAAGCGAACGGUAGUCCUCCUCACGCCCGUAAUUAACAAACACCACCUUAGCAUGCGCCGCACCGGACGGAGAAUAAGCAUGGUAUGGCGGCACAACGUCGGGACCGACUUUCCCAGAAAUCUCAGUCAAUGAAAAAUUAACAGCGCUACCGUUAGCGAAAUGCGCGACGAGCGAGGCGUGCGAAGGAUACGAAAGAAGCGCCGUGUACUCCACCUUGUGAGUCUCAAGAUUAUGAUUCUUAAAAUGAGAGUAAACGUAAUCAGUGGUGUCAAGAGAUGGUUGGGUUCCCGCGAGAUGAGGGUGGAGGGUGAGAGCGCGGAGGUAGGAGGCAAGGGUAAAGUUGGAGGAAAAAGACAGGAAGAGGUUGCGGUAACGAAGGGCAGAUUUGGGUUCCCUAGGGUUGGGGUGAGGGUGGUGGAGAGUAUAAAAGCCGAGAAUGCAGAGGAGGAGGAAGAAGAGGAAAGUACAGAGAGGUGGCGGUGGUUUGGAAGCGGAGGAGAACAAAGAGGCGGUGGGUUUGGUAAUGGGCGGAGACAUUUCCAAAGUCUAGAGGGAGAAGAAGUUCAGCUUAGGGGUAAGGGGGAGAAGUGGAGUGAAGUGUAUGGAGGUUGUGAGUGGUGGGUGCAGAGAUU
rnacentral:misc_RNA from 1 species